UCGGGAAUUUUGGGCAAUGGGCGAAAGCCUGACCCAGCAACGCCGCGUGAAGGAUGAAGUAUUUCGGUAUGUAAACUUCGAAAGAAUAGGAAGAAUAAAUGACGGUACUAUUUAUAAGCUCCGGCUAACUACGUGCCAGCAGCCGCGGUAAUACGUAGGGAGCAAGCGUUGUUCGGAUUUACUGGGCGUAAAGGGCGCGUAGGCGGCGCGGUAAGUCACUUGUGAAAUCUCUGAGCUUAACUCAGAACGGCCAAGUGAUACUGCAGUGCUAGAGUGCAGAAAGGGCAAUCGGAAUUCUUGGUGUUGCGGUGAAAUGCGUAGAUAUCAAGAGCAAAACCUGAGGCGAAGGCGGGUUGCUAGGCUGACACUGACGCUGAGGCGCGAAAGCCAGGGGAGCAAACG
rnacentral:rRNA from 1 species